rnacentral:rRNA from 1 species
UACGAGGGGGGCAAGCGUUGUUCGGAAUUAUUGGGCGUAAAGGGCGCGUAGGCGGCGCGGUAUGUCUCUUGUGAAAUCUCCAGGCUCAACUUGGAGUCUGCAAGGGAAACUGUCGGGCUUGAGUAUGGGAGAGGUGAGUGGAAUUUCCGGUGUAGCGGUGAAAUGCGUAGAUAAUCGGAAGGAACACCUGUGGCGAAAGCGGCUCACUGGACCAUUACUGACGCUGAUGCACGAAAGCUAGGGGAGCAAACAGG